GUCUUUUUAAACUGUGUUAUAAACUUACAUUGGGCAGGGGUCAGAGGUUGCCGCUUGACUCUUUCUCUGCUACUUCUAAAACGGUUUAUUACUUCUUUCUCCUGUGGGCACUGCAUGCUGUUACCAGCUGAUGUGAGCCAAUGAUAGGCCCUGAAUAGGGAGGCUUUAGCAGGCCUGCCCUCAUGGUAUGCCCGCCCCUGAAAUUCCUUC